GGGAUGGGGGCUGAAUGGUACAGUGCAUGCUUAGCACGUUUCAGGGCCUGGGUUCAAUCCCCAGCCACCCCC
rnacentral:tRNA from 1 species